UACUGAUGAUAGUAAGGUUAAUUUCUGAGCAUACCCUUAAAUCUCUCCCAAGCUUGGUAGAGAUUCUUUCCUUCUUUCUAUUUGAAACUCAAGAUCUCACUCCUCAAGUA